AGAUGAAAUACUUGAGUGUUUGUUUCCUGAUUCUGUUCCUGGUAGCAGUGUCUCUGGCCAUGAACAAUUAACUGAAGAUUCUCUCACUUGUGAAUUAAAGUCAGCUCCUCCUAAUAGUCUCACAAUGCGUCUAGCCAAAGCUUUCUGUAACAUUCAUAAUGAUUAUGGUCUUAAAGCAAUGGCUCAUAUUUGGUAUGAAGUGAUACAGGAACUGCGCUACAGGUGGGAGAAUGGUAUAGCAUUACCAAGUUUAGGGAAGAGUCAUCCUGACAUGUCUUGUUGUCUCUUACAUCAGAAACUACAGUAGAUGCCGUGGCUAGUGUUACUCCACAUCAUGUGAAUGACUAUACUUGACAUUAUGUUCUACUUUAGCCCUCGGUUUGGAUCUGAGAUUCUUGAUGGUUAUUCUGCAUUGGCAGCUGCACAAGAAAUACGUACAACGAAUUUACAAGACGUAAUUUUGAUUUUAUUUCAAAUAUUGGGACAGUAUCAAUGUUUGCUCAUUUGCUUGGUAGCGUAAUAUGCUAUGACCUGAUGUAUGAGACCUGUUGUAUCAAUGGACUACUGGAGAAAAGGAAAGAGAUUGUAUACCAAUGGACAUUGAUUUAACAGAUCAUCCAUUUAAAAAUGAGUCUGAUGAAAAGUUUGAAGAGCUACAGAAAUUAAGAAUAAGAGUUUCCAAAACUUGAAUCAGAGCUAGGGAUAAAGAUAGGGGUUCAGUUCUAUAAAGUUUGAAGUGGAUCAGUUAUUUGCUGUUGGGUCUCCAUUGGGUAUACUCUUAAUGCUAAUGAAACAUAGUUCACUAGUGAAGGAAAGCAAAGGAGCUGAUUCACUGCUGGCUUCUGCUAACAGAUUCAUAAUGUACAUCAUCUUUCAGAUCCUGUGGCCUAUUAUUUGGAGUCCAGUAUAUGCUCAAGUGAAGCCAGUAAAGAUGGACACUGCUAGUAGCAAACCAACGCAGAAAUCAAUCAGUCUAGCUGAAGGACCCAAGACACCAGAAGUGACACAGAGUACUAAGAGCAGUAGCAGCAGCUGGACACAAUCACUGAUAUCAGCUGUAGUUAAGUGUUGCUUCUAGUAAUGGCGCUGAAACUUGUAAAUCAUUUACCUCAUGAUAAAGUAGGCUUUUGAUGACACCGAAAUACUACCUGAAGAUCGAUUAAAUGAGGGACUUGAUUUUAUGUUCUGUGACGGACUGAAAGAGAACAGUUACUUAAACUCAAUCACAGCUCACAUUAGGUAUUGGACCAACUCUGACUGUGCAACGUAUCUAUUGCUUCAAUUGUAUACUUAGAAAAAGGACAGCAAACUGUGACUGAUGGUAUAUUGUUGAUUUAUAUAGUGGAUUUCUGUUUCUUUCUUUGUGAUUAGCAGUAAUAA